rnacentral:tRNA from 1 species
GGAGAGGUGCUGGAGUGGACGAUCAGGCGCGCCUGGAGAGCGCGUGGCCGGUCUACCGGCCCGUGGGUUCGAAUCCCACCCUCUCCGCCA